UACGAAGGGUGCAAGCGUUGUUCGGAAUUACUGGGCGUAAAGCGCUCGUAGGCGGAUUCGUAAGUCAAUUGUGAAAGCCCUGGGCUCAACCCGGGAAUUGCAGUUGAAACUGCGAACCUUGAAUACUUGAGAGGGUGACUAAAUUCCUGGUGUAGAAGUGAAAUUCGUAGAUAUCAGGAGGAAAACCAGAGGCGAAAGCGGUUGCCUGGCAAUGUAUUGACGCUGAGGAGCGAAAGCGUGGGGAGCAAACAGGAUUAGAUACCCUGGUAGUCCACGCGGUAAACGAUGGAUACUAGGUGUUUGGGGUGUUAACCCCCUGAGUACCGAAGCUAACGCAUUAAGUAUCCCGCCUGGGGAGUACGGCCGCAAGGCUAAA
rnacentral:rRNA from 1 species